rnacentral:rRNA from 1 species
UACAGAGGAGCCAAGCGUUGUCCGGAAUUACUGGGCGUAAAGCGCACGCAGGCGGAUUGAUAAGUCAGGGGUGAAAUCCCGGGGCUCAACCUCGGAAUUGCCUUUGAUACUGUCUGUCUUCGAGUUCGGGAGAGGUUGGCGGAAUUCCGCGUGUAGCAGUGAAAUGCGUAGAUAUGCGGAGGAACACCGAUGGCGAAGGCAAUCCCCUGGGCCUGCACUGACGCUCAUGCACGAAAGCGUGGGGAGCAAACAGG